rnacentral:rRNA from 1 species
CAAUAGCGUAUACUAAUGUUGUCGCAGUUAAAAAGCUCGUAGUUGAACUUCUGGUAGGAGUGUCCCGGCCUUUUUGUUUUUACAAAUUGUAUGCUGUGUGACAUCUCUGGCCAUCCUUCUUCUUUGUUUAAAGAAGAUCUUUCACUGUAAAAAAAUUAGGGUGUUCAAAGCAAAAGUUUCUUUGGAAUAUAUUAGUAUGGGAUGAUAAGAUAGGCUCUAGAUGCUAUUUUGUUGGUUUGCACAUUUAGAGAAUGAUUAACAGGGACAGUUGGGGGUAUUCGUAUUUACAUGUCAGAGGUGAAAUUCUUGGAUUUUGGAAAGACGAACUACUGCGAAAGCAUUUACCAAGGAUGUUUUCAUUAA